CUCAUUUCCUUCAUUCUGCCUCUCUGUGUUUCCUCAUUCAAACCCAGCCUCUCCUCAAUUCCUUUGCCUCUCUUCUCUCUUUGGCUUUCCCCUUCCCAAUCGAACCUAGCCUCUCUUCAACCCUAGCCUCUCUCUCUCUCUCUCUCUCUCUCUCUCUCUCUCUCUCUCUCUCUUUAUAUUUUCCCCAAAAUUUUCUAUUUCCCUUUCUCUGUCUCUUUCACCUCUCAUCUCAAUUCUCAAGUCGAGUUCACAUCUCAUGCAGAAACAUAAUUUGCAAAUCCUUCCCCUUCAAAUUUCACACACACUACGAAUCGAUGGGUCUCAACUCAAGUCUUCAGUUGAGUUCACACAUUCUCACAGAAUCUGCAAAAAAAAUCCUUCUCAUUCACACAUAAUCUGCAAAUCAGUCGGCCUCAACUCUCUUCUCAUCCCCAGUUCCCUUUCAAUUCAGUGCUUGCAUAAUGCGAUUCCUUCCUCUCCACUUCGUUCCAGGUUCUGAAAGAUGCUGAGGUAGCCUUACUCCAUGGCAGAUCUGGAACUUCUAGUUAUUGAUUUUAAUUAGCUCUGUUUUUUUGUGUCAUUUUCGACUGAUUGUGGGAAUGGUUUUGAAUUCAACUAUAUUUGUUGAUGACUAUAUAAUGAAUGUGUAUCUAUUUGACUACAAAAUGAAUGUGUAUCUAAUGAAUAUUGUAGUCUGUUAGCCGAGUGAGUCUUUUAUUCACUAACAUCAAGCUAAGGGUUAUGUCAGCCGAUUUCAACAGGUUUUUGCCUUGGUCGCUGUCAAUAGCGGUAAUUCCAGUUGGUCAAAAUCUUUGGUCUGUUACAAAACUUUAAAGGAUAGAAAACUUCUCUAGUCUGUGCGCUUGAAUAUUGGAAUCAAAAUGAAGAUGAUAAUAUUUAUCUAUAACGAAUUUGAACCUUGAGCAACUAGCUAUGUAACCUUGUGCAAAGUAUUAUGGGACUGAACAACCUAGUAAUGCAUUUUUAAGUUUUUAAUGUUUGAAAGUUUUUUGGUCCUUGAACAUCACUGGAAAUAUGUGGUAGUUUCCCCUCUUGUUGGUUGUGUGAACUGCUUUAUGGAAAAUCUCAGAAAUUUUGUUUGUUUUUUAUCUUGAACACUUGUAAAUGUAUUUUUUUAUGAGGAGUACUUGUAGUUUCCCAUAUUAAUCUUCUGCUUCCAUUGUUGGUUGUUUUGGACGGUGGAGUUGUUAUAUAAGAAUCAUCUUUAAGCAGGUGGUGGAAAGGCCCAUAAAGCAAAUAUGAGUCCUCCCACAGAUGAUACAGGUUGCUCUGCUUGGGUUCAGUUUUAAGCGCAUUGAACAUGGAGGGGAAAUUGAUGCCAGUGCACCUUGGGACUACGCUGAGAUUCAGAUUUUUCCAUCCCAGAACAGUUCCCUACCGAGUGGAAGCACGAAAGACAUUAUCAAAGCUGAAAACUACUUGAUUAUAAGUAGAGGCUGGAGCAGGGGCUGAAGGUUGUUUGUGGUGGUUAAGGGUUGUCUGGUAUGCGAGGAACUCGAGAG